rnacentral:rRNA from 1 species
CCUANGGGAGGCAGCAGUAGGGAAUAUUGCGCAAUGGACGAAAGUCUGACGCAGCGACGCCGCGUGGGUGAUGAAGGUUUUCGGAUCGUAAAGCCCUGUCGGAAGAGAAGAAACAUAGUUUGGCUAACAUCCAAGCUACUUGACGGUAUCUUCAAAGGAAGCACCGGCUAACUACGUGCCAGCAGCCGCGGUAAUACGUAGGGUGCUAGCGUUGUUCGGAAUCAUUGGGCGUAAAGCGCGUGUAGGUGGUCAGUAAAGUUGGGUGUGAAAUCCCUCGGCUCAACCGAGGAAGUGCAUUCAAAACUCACUGGCUAGAGAGUGGUAGAGGAAGGUGGAAUUCCUAGUGUAUAGGUGAAAUUCGUAGAUAUUAGGAGGAAUACCGGAGGCGAAGGCGGCCUUCUGGACCAUUUCUGACACUGAGACGCGAAAGCGUGGGUAGCAAACAGGAUUAGAUACCCUGNUANUC